rnacentral:rRNA from 1 species
GAACGGCAGCACGGGGGCAACCCUGGUGGCGAGUGGCGAACGGGUGAGUAACAUAUCGGAACGUGCCCUGGAGUGGGGGAUAACUAGUCGAAAGAUUAGCUAAUACCGCAUACGAUCUACGGAUGAAAGUGGGGGAUCGCAAGACCUCAUGCUCGUGGAGCGGCCGAUAUCUGAUUAGCUAGUUGGUGGGGUAAAAGCCUACCAAGGCAUCGAUCAGUAGCUGGUCUGAGAGGACGACCAGCCACACUGGGACUGAGACACGGCCCAGACUCCUACGGGAGGCAGCAGUGGGGAAUUUUGGACAAUGGGCGCAAGCCUGAUCCAGCAAUGCCGCGUGAGUGAAGAAGGCCUUCGGGUUGUAAAGCUCUUUUGUCAGGGAAGAAACGGUGAGGGCUAAUAUCCUUUGCUAAUGACGGUACCUGAAGAAUAAGCACCGGCUAACUACGUGCCAGCAGCCGCGGUAAUACGUAGGGUGCAAGCGUUAAUCGGAAUUACUGGGCGUAAAGCGUGCGCAGGCGGUUGUGCAAGACCGAUGUGAAAUCCCCGGGCUUAACCUGGGAAUGGCAUUGGUGACUGCACGGCUAGAGUGUGUCAGAGGGGGGUAGAAUUCCCCGUGUAGCAGUGAAAUGCGUAAAGAUGUGGAGGAAUACCGAUGGCAAAGGCAGCCCCCUGGGAUACACUGACGCUCAUGCCCAAAAGCGGGGGGAGCAAA